CCCUUAGAUGUCCUGGGCCGCACGCGCGCUACACUGAUGCAUGCAACGAGUCGUUUCAAGCCUGGGCCGAGAGGCCCGGGUAAUCUGUUGAACGUGCAUCGUGAUAGGGAUAGAUCAUUGCAAUUAUUGAUCUUGAACGAGGAAUUCCUAGUAAACGCGAGUCAUCAGCUCGUAUUGAUUACGUCCCUGCCCUUUGUACACACCGCCCGUCGCACCUACCGAUUGAAUGGUCCGGUGAAAUCUUUGGACCGUGACAUAGUUUUGCUUUCGGGCAAAACGUUGUCGUGGGAAGUUGAUUAAACCUUACCAUUUAGAGGAAGGUGAAGUCGUAACA
rnacentral:rRNA from 1 species